AGAAGAGGAAGAAGGAAACAAUGCUUAAAGCAGCAGCGCCACUGGACGUAACUGUUUGACAGCUGUUCUGUGACUCUCAAUAAACGAGCUGGUUAAUGCCACCUCAACACAGGAUGGUGCCAAAGAGCUGUGGAAAAACAAGGUGGGACUGUCAAGGGAUUUCCAGACAAGAGGGUGAGAUUGAAAAAAGUACCUAAGUACACUGUAGCCUUGGAAUUUAAGAUACAAAAAUAUGAUGAAAUACGAACAAAACCUGAUUUAUUUAAACAUUUUUAAGUUAAUAUACAGGUGAAAAA